rnacentral:rRNA from 1 species
GAACGCUGGCGGCGUGCCUAAUACAUGCAAGUCGAACGAAACUUCUUUAUCACCGAGUGCUUGCACUCACCGAUAAAGAGUUGAGUGGCGAACGGGUGAGUAACACGUGGGCAACCUGCCCAAAAGAGGGGGAUAACACUUGGAAACAGGUGCUAAUACCGCAUAACCAUAGUUACCGCAUGGUAACUAUGUAAAAGGUGGCUAUACUACCGCUUUUGGAUGGGCCCGCGGCGCAUUAGCUAGUUGGUAGGGUAAAGGCUUACCAAGGCAAUGAUGCGUAGCCGAAUUGAGAGGUUGAUCGGCCACAUUGGGACUGAGACACGGCCCAAACUCCUACGGGAGGCAGCAGUAGGGAAUCUUCCACAAUGGGCGAAAGCCUGAUGGAGCAACGCCGCGUGGGUGAAGAAGGUCUUCGGAUCGUAAAACCCUGUUGUUAGAGAAGAAAGUGCGUGAGAGUAACUGUUCACGUUUCGACGGUAUCUAACCAGAAAGCCACGGCUAACUACGUG